CAGGCAAUCCUCAGGAACUCGGCAGAAGAGGACUCGGAUUCCUAAGCAGCCUGCAUCGAUCUGGGGAAAGCUGGAAAUGAAUUAAGAUUCAGAGAUGAUAGGAAGUUGAAGAAUCUAAGAUGGAGUUCUGCAGGAAAAGCUGGUGUGUCUGCAGGCAGGAAGUCUCUAUCACAAAUGUCCAAUGGAUGCAGAACGAGGUUCCAGAUUUUCUAGAAUAUAUAUUGCUGCGGACUGAGCUGUGUCCCCCAAAUCCAUGUGCUGAAGACCUAACACUUAAUGCGCUGGUAACUGGAGAUGGUGCCUUCAGGAGUGAGGACACAGGGAGAAGGAAGCUGUCUACAGGCAAGGAAGAGGCCCUCACCAGAAACCAAUAACGGUGGGACCCUGAUCUUAGACAUCAAGCCUCCAGAACUGU